GACCAGUGACCUUUGACCCUAGAAUCUCCAACCAAAUUCGGAGAUCAUUCUCUCCAGUACCCAGUCAUCUGUCCAUGAAGAGUCACUUCUCUAUGGAUCGUCCUAUACAUUUUAGUGAUGGACCAGGGACCUUUGACCCUAGAAUCUCCAACCAAAUUCGGAGAUCAGUCUUUCCAGUAC